CCAUUGUGUCGACCGCAAUCAUGUGACUUGUCAGAUCGCUGAGGGCCCUAAAGGAGGAGACAACCAGCGAUACAAGAGUCUGAUAACUCAUUCACAAAACACUAUAAGCAACUGCGACAUUAUAAAAGGACUUGGGCAAAACUCCAUUUACAAGACUCUAUAGGAAUGAGUUGAGACGGGUGAAAUGAGGACAUUUGGCAAAUGAAUGAAGAGAUCGAGACAACAGAUCUAUGAGAUUAACACACCUCCUCUGCAGCCUCCUCAUAUGUAGCAAAAGCAGUGUGUCCCUCCUGCCACAGGAACUCCCGGGUGCGAAGGAAGGGCUGAGGAUGUUUGAACUCCCACCUCUGAAAAAUAC